rnacentral:misc_RNA from 1 species
GCAAACUUGGUCAUUUAGAGGAAGUAAAAGUCGUAACAAGGUUUCCGUAGGUGAACCUGCGGAAGGAUCAUUAAAAUAUUGAAUUCGGCCUUUCAUAAGUCGAACAAUACUUUGUGAAACAAUGAUGCGAAAUACUUUGAUUUGGGGUUUAAAGAUGUUUUGCUUUUGGCUUUAUUGCUUUAGUAAAACGACCCCGAACUUCAUUAAACAACUCUAUUAAUUUUAUUUGACUGAAAUUUUGGAAAAUUAUAACCCAAAAUAUAACUUUCAACAACGGAUCUCUUGGUUCUCGCAUCGAUGAAGAACGCAGC